rnacentral:tRNA from 1 species
GGCUUUAUAGUUUAUUAAAAUAUUAAAUUGCAAGUUUGAAGAUGCUUUAAGCUAAAGCCU